rfam:Populus trichocarpa isolate Nisqually-1 chromosome 10, whole genome shotgun sequence.
UAAUUUAUCCGAGGCAGAUUAUCAUCUAGUUAUGACAGACUCGCACUUGACUGCUUAAAAUUAUUCAUUAUCGCAAGUCUAACUAUAUUAUUAUACUCAUAAAAUAUAUUUGAAAGAAAA